UGUAAAGGGUAGUAUGUUGCGAGUUCCUUUCAUAUUAUUUUGAGCUUAAGUAUGGUGAAUUACACUUGUGUUUCAUGUUUUAUUUAUGAGGAAUGUCUAGAGUUAUUUGGAGCUUAAGUAAGAAUAAAAAUAGAAUCAAGAAACCAAAAAAAUAAGGAUAGAUCAACAUCGUAACACAUUGCAAAACAAGUGCAAAAAGGCCAAAGGUAUUGUUCCCUGCACCACUGUAGCAAAGCAAGAAGUGGAACAAAUCUAGUAGGCUUGGAUAACCUCUUACUCCACUCACCCAAGGAAAGCGGUGGCACAAGAAAUUGUAACUUUCUGGAAUUUUAUUUGUUCCUUAUGCCACCACACCGGUUUGGACAGUGGAGCGAGCCGGGAUCUAUAUUAACUUGAUUAUGAUUAGAUUUAAUGUUCUAUAGGUUACUAGACUCUAUAAAUAUCUCCC
rnacentral:lncRNA from 1 species